rnacentral:rRNA from 1 species
AUUUGGAUUAAUACCACAUGGUACUAUAUUACGGCAUCGUAUUUAUAGUUAAAGGUUACGGUAGGGGAUGAGUAUGCGUCCCAUUAGUUAGUUGGCGAGGUAACGGCUCACCAAGACCGCGAUGGGUAGGGGCCCUGAGAGGGGGAUCCCCCACACUGGUACUGAGACACGGACCAGACUCCUACGGGAGGCAGCAGUGAGGAAUAUUGGACAAUGGACGAGAGUCUGAUCCAGCCAUGCCGCGUGCAGGAAGAAUGCCCUAUGGGUAGUAAACUGCUUUUAUACGGGNAGAANNNGGGCUACGUGUAGCCCACUGACGGUACCGUAAGAAUAAGGACCGGCUAACUCCGUGCCAGCAGCCGCGGUAAUACGGAGGGUCCGAGCGUUAUCCGGAAUUAUUGGGUUUAAAGGGUCCGUANGCGGGCUGAUAAGUCAGUGGUGAAAGUUUGCAGCUCANCUGUAAAAUUGCCUUUGAUACUGUUAGUCUUGAGUUAUAGUGAAGUUGCCGGANUAUGUAGUGUAGCGGUGAAAUGCAUAGAUAUUACAUAGAACACCGAUUGCGAANGCANGUGACUAACUAUAUACUGACGCUGAUGGACNANNGCG